rnacentral:rRNA from 1 species
UAAUACGGAGGGAGCGAGCGUUGUCCGAAGUUACUGGGCGUAAAGCGCGCGUAGGCGGGGAAUUAAGUGAGAAGUGAAAGGCUGGGGCUCAACCUCAUGCAGUGCUUCUCAUACUGGUUCUCUUGAGGGCGGUAGGGAGAAGUGGAAUGGCUGGUGUAGCGGUGAAAUGCGUAGAUAUCAGUCGGAACACCGGUGGCGAAGGCGGCUUCUUGGGCCGUUUCUGACGCUGAGGCGCGAAAGCCAGGGGAGCGAACGGGAUUAGAUACCCCGGUAGUCCUGGCCGUAAACGAUGGAUACUAGGUGUUGGGGGUAUCGACCCCUCCAGUGCCGCAGCUAACGCAGUAAGUAUCCCGCCUGGGGAGUACGGCCGCAAGGUUG